rnacentral:rRNA from 1 species
AACACAGAAGUUAAGCUCUUUAGCGCCGAUGGUACUUGGUGGGAAGCUGCCUGGGAGAGUAGGACGUAGCCGCGUA